rnacentral:rRNA from 1 species
UACGUAGGGGGCAAGCGUUGUCCGGAUUUAUUGGGCGUAAAGAGCGUGUAGGCGGCUUUACAGGUCCGUUGUGAAAACUCGAGGCUCAACCUCGAGACGCCGGUGGAAACCGUAAAGCUAGAGUCCGGAAGAGGAGAGUGGAAUUCCUGGUGUAGCGGUGAAAUGCGCAGAUAUCAGGAGGAACACCCGUGGCGAAGGCGGCUCUCUGGGACGGUACUGACGCUGAGGAGCGAAAGCGUGGGUAGCAAACAGG